rnacentral:rRNA from 1 species
UACGGAGGGUACAAGCGUUGUUCGGAAUCACUGGGCGUAAAGGGCGUGUAGGCGGCCUGUUAAGUCUGAUGUGAAAUCCCCUCGCUCAACGAGGGAACUGCGUCGGAAACUGGCAGGCUCGAGUACCGGAGAGGAAGGUGGAAUUCCCGGUGUAGCGGUGAAAUGCGUAGAUAUCAGGAGGAACACCGGUGGUGUAGACGGCUUCUGGACCACGACUGACGCUGAGGCACGGAGCGUGGUAGCAACAGG